AAAAUAUGAAAAAAAGUUCUGCGUUCGGGGGGAAUCGAACCCCCGUCGAAUGCUUGGA
rnacentral:sRNA from 1 species